ensembl:lncRNA LINC02268 long intergenic non-protein coding RNA 2268
AAGAAGAGGAAUUGAAGUCAAACCUCACCUACUUCCCAGAGUCUUCUGGAUUUUCUGUUAGAAGCUUCAGUAUCUGAGAAUCCCACCCAUCCUAAGGCAUUACAUUUAGUCAUCAUAGCUCUUUCUUCACAGAAUUAGAAAAAACUACUUUAAAUUUCAUAUGGAACCAAAAAAGAGCCCAUAUAGCCAAGAAAAUCUUAAGCAAAAAGAACAAAGAUGGAGGCAUCAUGCUAACUGACUUCAAACUAUACUACAAGGCUACAGUAACCAAAACAGCAUGGUACUGGUGCCAAAACAGAUAUAUAGACCAAUGGAAUAGAACAGAGGCCUCAGAAAAACGUCACCCAUCUACAACCAUCUGAUCUUCAACAAAUCUGACAAAAACAAAUAAUGGGGAAGAAAUUCUGUAUUUAAUAAAUGAUCUUGGGAAAACUGGCUAGCCACAUGCAGAAAACUGAAGCUGGGCUCCUUCCUUACACCUUAUACAAAAAUUAACUCAAGAUGGAUUAAAGACUUAAACGUAAGACCUAAAACCAUAGAAACCCUAGAAGAAUACCUAGGCAAUACCAUUGAGGACACAGACAUGGGCAAAUGACUAAAGCAACAAAAGCCAAAA